CACGUAGUUAGCCGGGGCUUCUUAGUCAGGUACCGUCAUUAUCUUCCCUGCUGAUAGAGCUUUACAUACCGAAAUACUUCUUCACUCACGCGGCGUCGCUGCAUCAGGGUUUCCCCCAUUGUGCAAUAUUCCCCACUGCUGCCUCCCGUAGGAGUCUGGGCCGUGUCUCGAGUCCCAAUGUGGCCGUUCACUCUCUCAAGCCGGCUACUGAUCGUCGCCUUGGUAGGCCCGUUACCCCACCAACAAGCUAAUCAGACGCGGGUCCAUCUCACAGCGAUAAAUCUUUGAAAGGAUCGUCAUGCGGCAAUCCCUUGUCAUGCGGUAUUAGCAGCCGUUUCCGGCUGUUCGUCCCCCUCUGUGAGGCACGGUUACCCACGCGUUACUCACCCGUCCGCCACUCAGUCAUUACCAUCCUUCCCUCCGAAAAGUUCCGUCGGUACGCGCUUCGUUCGACUUGCUAUCGUGUUAGCACGCCCGCCAGCCGUCAUCCUGACGCCAGGAUACCGUAAA
rnacentral:rRNA from 1 species